UUGCAAUGAUGAAGGUUCCAAAACCAUUCGUAGUUUCCACCAGAGGUUGAAAAAAACCAAUGUUGGCUUAAAUUACCUUCCUUGGAUGUCUGAGCGA
ensembl:snoRNA SNORD14 Small nucleolar RNA SNORD14